AGACAGCAGCAGCCGCGGUAAUACGGAGGGAGCUAGCGUUGUUCGGAAUUACUGGGCGUAAAGCGCGCGUAGGCGGUUACUCAAGUAAGAGGUGAAAGCCCGGGGCUCAACCCCGGAACUGCCUUUGAAACUAGGUAACUAGAAUCUUGGAGAGGUCAGUGGAAUUCCGAGUGUAGAGGUGAAAUUCGUAGAUAUCGGGAGGAACAUCAGUGGCGAAGGCGGCCAUCUGGGACAGCACUGACGCUGAGGCACGAAAGCGUGGGGAGCAAACAGGAUUAGAUACCCGUGUAGUCCCUGUCUCUUAUAC
rnacentral:rRNA from 1 species